rnacentral:lncRNA from 1 species
UGGCUACCUGUCAAUAUACUUUGAAUGCUGCAAAUGCAGGUUACGUGCAGUUGAUCAUCUUUUCAAGAUGAAAAUAGUUAAAUUUGAUGACUUGCUGUGGAACAGUGUUAUGUCAUAACCUAAGAAAAAUAAUCUUCUAAAUUAAAUCCGAGAAUACAGAUGAAAUGCAGACAUUCUCUUUAUCAAAUUAUUAUAUCAAAUAAUAAUAAGAAUGAAGCUCUACAUUUUAAAUACCAACCCAAGAACGUUAUACCCAAGAGAAGAAGAGUCCAUUAGACCAUGGGAUCAAUGUAUAUAUACAGUGUGAUCUGUAACUGGUGGUACAAGCGAAAAGGGGGUGAUUCUACAUGAAAAUA